rnacentral:rRNA from 1 species
GAUCAACGCUGGCGGCGUGCCUAAUGCAUGCAAGUUGAACGGUGCCUUCGGGCACAGUGGCGAACGGGUGAGGAACACGUGGACGACCGACCCUGGAGUGGGGAAUAACUGCCGGAAACGGUGGCUAAUACCGCAUACGGUUGCUGAGGUAUCGGCCUUGGUAACGAAAGCCUUCGGGCGCUGCAGGACGGGUCUGCGGCCGAUUAGCUAGUUGGUGGGGUCACGGCCUACCAAGGCGACGAUCGGUAGCCGGUCUGAGAGGACGGCCGGCCACACGGGGACUGGGACACGGCCCCGACUCCUACGGGAGGCAGCAGCAAGGAAUAUUGGGCAAUGGCCGAAAGGCUGACCCAGCGACGCCGCGUGGGGGAUGAAGGCCCUCGGGUCGUAAACCCCUUUUCUCAGGGACGAAGAUGACGGUACCUGAGGAAGAAGCCCCGGCUAACUACGUGCCAGCCGCCGCCGUAAAAC